rnacentral:tRNA from 1 species
GCCGCCUUAGCUCAAUUGGCAGAGCAGUGCAUUUGUAGUGCGAAGGUUGCUGGUUCGACUCCGGCAGGCGGCUCC